UACGUAUGGUGCGAGCGUUAAUCGGAAUUACUGGGCGUAAAGCGUGCGCAGGCGGUUUUGUAAGCCAGAUGUGAAAUCCCCGGGCUUAACCUGGGAAUGGCAUUUGGGACUGCAAGGCUUGAGUGCGGCAGAGGAGACUGGAAUUCCUGGUGUAGCAGUGAAAUGCGUAGAUAUCAGGAGGAAUACCGAUGGCGAAGGCAGGUCUCUGGGCUGACACUGACGCUCAUGCACGAAAGCGUGGGGAGCAAACAGG
rnacentral:rRNA from 1 species